AUUGAACGCUGGCGGUAUGCUUAACACAUGCAAGUCGAACGGCAGCAUGGUCUAGCUUGCUAGACUGAUGGCGAGUGGCGGACGGGUGAGUAACGCGUAGGAAUAUGCCUUGAAGAGUGGGACAACUUGGGGAAACUCAAGCUAAUACCGCAUGUACUCGAGAGAGUAAAGCUGGGGACCUUUAGGCCUGGCGCUUUAAGAUUAGCCUGCGUCCGAUUAGCUAGUUGGUAGGCUAAAGGCCUACCAAGGCGACGAUCGGUAGCUGGUCUGAGAGGAUGAUCAGCCACACUGGAGCUGAGAGACGGUCAGACUCCUACGGGAGGCAGCAGUGGGGAAUAGUGGACAAUGGGGGGAACCCUGAUCCAGCAAUGCCGCGUGUGUGAAGAAGGCCUGAGGGUUGUAAAGCACUUUCAGUGGGGAGGAGGUUUGGAAGGUUAAGAGCUAUUCAAAUGGACGUUACCCACAGAAGAAGCACCGGCUAACUCCGUGCCAGCCGCCGCGGUAA
rnacentral:rRNA from 1 species